rnacentral:rRNA from 1 species
AUUGAACGCUGGCGGCAGGCCUAACACAUGCAAGUCGAGCGGCAGCGGGAAGUAGCUUGCUACUUUGCCGGCGAGCGGCGGACGGGUGAGUAAUGUCUGGGGAUCUGCCUGAUGGAGGGGGAUAACUACUGGAAACGGUAGCUAAUACCGCAUAACGUCGCAAGACCAAAGCGGGGGACCUUCGGGCCUCGCGCCAUCAGAUGAACCCAGAUGGGAUUAGCUAGUAGGUGGGGUAAUGGCUCACCUAGGCGACGAUCCCUAGCUGGUCUGAGAGGAUGACCAGCGACACUGGAACUGAGCCACGGUCCAGAGUCCUACGGGAGGCAGCAGUGGGGAAUAUUGCACAAUGGGCGCAAGCCUGAUGCAGCCAUGCCGCGUGUAUGAAGAAGGCCUUCGGGUUGUAAAGUACUUUCAGCGAGGAGGAAGGCAGUAAGGUUAAUAACCUUGCUGAUUGACGUUACUCGCAGAAGAAGCACCGGCUAACUCCGUG